UACGAAGGGGGCUAGCGUUGUUCGGAAUUACUGGGCGUAAAGCGCACGUAGGCGGAUAUUUAAGUCAGGGGUGAAAUCCCAGAGCUCAACUCUGGAACUGCCUUUGAUACUGGGUAUCUUGAGUAUGGAAGAGGUAAGUGGAAUUGCGAGUGUAGAGGUGAAAUUCGUAGAUAUUCGCAGGAACACCAGUGGCGAAGGCGGCUUACUGGUCCAUUACUGAUGCUGAGGUGCGAAAGCGUGGGGAGCAAACAGG
rnacentral:rRNA from 1 species